UAAACCCUACGAUGUGCGUGGGAAUCCUGGGAGUUUUGAGCCAACACCAAAACUAUUGGAGCCUGGACUCUGGUUGUGGCUUGUAUGCCUUGUAUCAAGGGAACAUAAAGCAACCAGGAGGGCACCACCGUGCUGAGCCAGGUUCAGACACCGGGACCCACGGCAUUUGUGGGGUUUUC
rnacentral:other from 3 species